UAUUAGGACACUUAAGAACUCACCCACUCACCAACCUAACCAUAACUUCAGUCCAAAAGAUUACACCUGGACAACCACAGAAGAUUUAUACAAGUGAAAAAAUAGUGAUUGAUUUAUCUCAAGAGCAAGGCUAUCUGUAUCAAUUUUCAUAAAUCCAUUCAAGAUGGAGAAGAAAAAAAUCUUGGCUGAAUUUCUGAUUUUUAUUGUACUGAGUAUCACUGAAAGUACAAGUGCACCUACAACAACUGUAUCUGCAAUCUCUUCUACAACUGAAACUGCCACAACAAGUGGUACAGAAGCCCCGACAACAACCACAACUGCAGCUUCAGCUACAACUCCGAGUGCAGCCAUGACUACAACUGUGGUCCCCACCACAAUUAACAUUGAAACUUCUAUUACAACUGAGACUGCAGCCCCCACUACAACUGUAACUGCAGCCCCCACUACAACUGCAGCCUCAACUACAACUGAAACUCCAGCCCCCACUACAACUGUAACUCCAGCCCCCACUACAACUGAAACUACAGCCCCCAC